CCCGCUAAAUUUAAGCAUACUUAUAAACGGAGGAAAAGAAACUAACAAGGAUUCCCCUAGUAAUGGCGAAUGAAGCAGAAAAAGCUCAGAUUUAAAAUCUCCGAAUUGUAGUUUCGAGAAGCACUUUCUCGAUGGAUCCAAGGUCGUCAAAGUUGCUUGGAACAGCACGUCGUAGAGGGUGACAACCCCGUCUGCGGCGACCUCGGCCGUUCACGAUGUGCUUUUUCGACGAGUCGGGUUGUUUGGGAAUGCAGCCCGAAAUGGGUGGUAAACCAUAGUCGUUUUUAGGAGGUUGCUAGUUUUCUGUCCCGCCCUCUGGAACCAUACUUAGUUAUUUUUGAAUGGUUUAAUAAUAAUGUGACGAUAGU
rnacentral:ncRNA from 1 species